ensembl:lncRNA
CUAGCUCAGCAACCAAUCAGAGCCUACCCAGGCCGCAUUGACCCUGUCAGCCAGGAAGUGAAGUGGAGGUGCAUGGUGCUCCCGGGUUUUUUCUCAUCUCAGCAAGAGGAGUGGAGGCAUCUACUACUCAAACCGAGAAAUCCACGGACAAAAGAGAGGAAAACUCAGGAUUGAGAGGAAGGAAAGCCAGCGCACUUACCUGCUGGAAGUCCAGAGUCGAGUGGCUGGAUGAAGGAGAGAGGCAACGCUAACCACUCACCUUUCAUCCGGAGAGCUGCUGCAAUUCCAACGCCAGUGUGUGUUGGGCUUUUGUGAAACAGAGCAACGGUCAGGUUUUUUGGAGAGGACGGAAAAGUCCAAGGACCAGGACGAUAUUCUGGUUGUGAUAGAUGGCGAGCCAACCACUUUGAGGACGAUCUACCCCAAAGAAGAUACACACCACACACUCAUACAUUCCAGUUACAUUCACAAGGACCUUUGAAGUUGGCUAUCGCCAGCUUAACUCUAAAUUCUUAAAGGGCCCCAACGAGUACUUUUAUUUUGUUGAGUGUGCACACUAUUUAUUUUAUUUUAUACUUUAUCUGUACAAAUUGGACAAAUACCUGUUAUACUUUGUAACAAUACAAGAGUGGCUACUCAAAAGUUAACAUUGUGUCCAGGUCAUUAUUGCUGCUCAAUACUUUGGCUCCAUACGAAUUUGGUGUCUUCUGAUUCUGGCCAGGGUCUUAUUACGAGCCCAAGUAAUUAUUGCGCUGUAAUUCACCUUUAUACCUUAAAGUUGGUUACACAUGGAUUGGCCUCCAAAGAGUCUGGUCACACCAAAUACUGACUUUCAAGUUUGUUAGAAUUGCACAAACUCUCUUUUUGCCUUACAAUACUGUAUUUGCAUUAACUGUCAAAUAAAUUGUUCAAUAAAUUGCUGCACUUUCCCUCC